rnacentral:rRNA from 1 species
UACGAAGGGGGCUAGCGUUGCUCGGAAUUACUGGGCGUAAAGCGCACGUAGGCGGCUUUCUAAGUCGGGGGUGAAAGCCCGAGGCUCAACCUCGGAACUGCCUUCGAUACUGCGGGUCUCGAGUCCGGGAGAGGUGAGUGGAAUUCCUAGUGUAGAGGUGAAAUUCGUAGAUAUUAGGAAGAACACCAGUGGCGAAGGCGGCUCACUGGCCCGGUACUGACGCUGAGGCGCGAAAGCGUGGGGAGCAAACAGG